rnacentral:lncRNA from 1 species
UUUACACAAAUUUGAGCUCUUAGAAUCACAGAAAAGAUCAAGAAUUCGGUGUAGGUCUAUUUCUUUUCGGUGCUGAAUGGGUGGGGUAUUUAUAGGCCCCAACCCAGUUCAAAUUUGGAGCUCAAAAUGAUCAAAUCCCGGAAUUCCGGGAUCAGGCGGUUGCACCUCCUGACUGGAGAGGUUGCACCGCUUGGCAGAGCUCGAAGACUGAGCCUCUGGGCAGUGCUACCUCUGUCAGGGGCGGUUGCACCUCUCUGCCAGAGCUCGAAGA